rnacentral:rRNA from 1 species
UACGGAGGGUGCAAGCCUUGAUCGGAAUUACUGGGCGUAAAGGGCGCGUAGGCGGCAAUGUAAGUUGGAUGUGAAAUUCCACGGCUCAACCGUGGAGCUGCAUUCAAAACUACAUAGCUAGAGCAUAGUUAGGGAAAACGGAAUUCCACGUGUAGCGGUGAAAUGCGUAGAUAUGUGGAAGAACACCGGUGGUGAAGACGGUUUUCUGGGCUAUGGCUGACGCUGAGGCGCGAAAGCUAGGGGAGCAAACAGG